rnacentral:tRNA from 1 species
UGGGGGUAUAGCUCAGUUGGUAGAGCGCCGCUACCCUAUGGCGGAUGUCAGCGGUUCGAGUCCGCUUACCUCCAGCC